GUUCGAUUAUGGCUCAGAUUGAACGCUGGCGGGAUGCUUUACACAUGCAAGUCGAACGGCAGCACGGACUUCGGUCUGGUGGCGAGUGGCCGAACGGGUGAGUAAUGUAUCGGAACGCGCCCUAGUAGCGGGGGAUAACUACGCGGCGUAGCUAAUACCGCAUACGCCCUUCGGGGGAAAAGCGGGGGACCUUCGGGCCUCGCACUAUUAGAGCUGACCGAUAUCGGAUUAGCUAGUUGGUGGGGUAACGGCUCACCAAGGCGACGAUCCGUAGCUGGUUUGAAGAGGACGACCAGCCACACUGGGACUGAGACACGGCCCAGACUCCUACGGGAGGCAGCAGUGGGGUACACCUGGACAAUGGGGGAAACCUGAUCCAGCCAUCCGCGUGUGCGAUGAAGGCCUUCGGGUUGCAGCUUUGGCAGGAAAGAAACGGCACGGGGAUAAUACCCCGUGCAACUGACGAAACACCUGCAGAAUAAGCACCGGCUAACUACGUGCCAGCAGCCGCGGUAAUACGUAGGGUGCAAGCGUUAAUCGGAGUUACUGGGCGUAAAGCGUGCGCAGGCGGUUCCGGAAAGAAAGAUGUGAAAUCCCAGAGCUUAACUUUGGAACUGCAUUUUAACUACCGAGCUAGAGAGUGUGUCAGGGAGGUGGAAUUCCGCGUGUAGCAGUGAAAUGCGUAGAUAUGCGGAGGGAACACCGAUGGCGAAGGCAGCCUCCUGGGAUAACACUGACGCUCAUGCACGAAAGCGUGGGAGCAAACAGGAUUAGAUACCCUGGUAGUCCACGCCCUAAACGAUGUCAACUAGCUGUUGGGGCCUUCGGGCCUUGGUAGCGCAGCUAACGCGUGAAGUUGACCGCCUGGGAGUACGGUCGCAAGAUUAAAACUCAAAGGAAUUGACGGGGACCCGCACAAGCGGUGGAUGAUGUUGGAUUAAUUCGAUGCAACGCGAAAAACACUACCUACCCUUGACAUGUCUGGAAUCCCGAAGAGAUUUGGGAGUGCUCGCAAGAGAACCGAACACAGGUGCUGCAUGGCUGUCGUCAGCUCGUGUCGUGAGAUGUUGGGUUAAGUCCCGCAACGAGCGCAACCUUGUCAUUAGUUGCUACGAAAGGGCACUCUAAUGAGACUGCCGGUGACAAACCGGAGGAAGGUGGGGAUGACGUCAGAGUCUCAUGGCCCUUAUGGUGGGGCUUCACACGUCAUACAAUGGUCGGGACAGAGGGUCGCCAACCCGCGAGGGGUAAUCCCAGAAACCCGAUCGUAGUCCGGAUCGCAGUCUGCAACUCGACUGCGUGAAGUCGGAGAUCGCUAGUAAUCGCGGAUCAGCAUGUCGCGGUGAAUACGUUCCCGGGUCUUGUACACACCGCCCGUCACACCAUGGGAGUGGGUUUUACCAGAAGUAGUUAGCCUAACCGUAAGGAGGGCGAUUACCACGGUAGGAUUCAUGACUGAGGUUAAUCGAACAAGGUAG
rnacentral:rRNA from 1 species